GCUGUUGGGGCUGAAACUGUGAGCAUACAUUUGAUAAGGAAGUAUUUCUAGCAUGAGAGGCGUGGCUAAGGAGGUAGGCUUAUGGUGCAGUAUUCUGCCAAUAUUUAUUUAUUUUGUGCAAAAGGUAUAAGGAUUUUUAGCAUGCAAAACAUACAGCAUAUUAAUGAGGCCAAAAGCUUUGAAAUGCAGUAACGUUGUAUUGGUGCCCGUAGUGCCCCUUUUAAACACGGUUCCUUUUCUCCUUUUCAGUUGCUAAGCUAAUUUACCCACUAUCCACUAGUAAUAGAAUCCCUCAGAAAGGCAAACUGCAGAUGUCAUGGACAGAGGAAAACUAAAUAAAGGCAUGACACAAUAUAAUAAAUAUAAAACCUAUUUACAAGGAGUG